UACGGAGGGGGCAAGCGUUGUCCGGACUUACUGGGCGUAAAGGGUGCGUAGGCGGCCUGCUGCGUCGGUGCUGAAAGCGCCCGGCUUAACCGGGCGAGGCGUGCCGAUACGAGCGGGCUGGAGCCUUGGCGAGGGUGGCGGAACUCCUGGUGUAGUGGUGAAAUGCGUAGAGAUCAGGAAGAACACCCGUGGCGCAAGCGGCCACCUGGCCAAGAGCUGACCGCUGAAGGCACGAGAGCGUGGGGAGCGAAC
rnacentral:rRNA from 1 species